rnacentral:misc_RNA from 1 species
UUAACUAUUAUAUAGUACUCAGACAGUAUAGACAAACAGAGUUUAGGUCCUCUGGCAAGCGCUCGCCGGCCGGAGCCAGCAGCCCGAGGGCAGGCUUGCCAAAGCAACAAAUAUAUAAUACGCAAAGGGUGAGGUUUGCUACCCAGAGGGCAGCGAACACUGUAAUGAUCCUUCCGCAGGUUCACCUACGGAAA